rnacentral:rRNA from 1 species
AUAUUACUAAGCGAAGGACAAGAAGCUAACAAGGAUUCCCUCAGUAACGGCGAGUGAAGCGGGAAGAGCUCAAAUUGGUAAUCGGGCGCUUGCGUCCGAGUUGUAGCCUAGGGUGUUCUGCCUGUUCGGAUGUCCCUGUCAACUCUUCUCCGAAUGGAGGAUCAAAGAGGGUGACAAUCCCGUCGCGGGGACUGAAGGCAUUGUGCAGGCCACCGCAGAGUCGAGUUGCUUGAGAGUGCAGCUCUAAGUGGGUGGUAAAUUCCUUCUAAAGCUAAAUAUAGGCAAGAGACCGAUAGCGCACAAGUA